rnacentral:rRNA from 1 species
CAAACGGGUGAGUAACGCGUGGGCGACCUACCUUCAAGUGGGGGAUAACCUUCCGAAAGGAGGGCUAAUACCGCAUAACAUCCUGUUUUUGGAUAAACGGGUAUCAAAGCCGGGGAUCGCAAGACCUGGCGCUAGGAGAGGGGCCCGCGUCCGAUUAGCUAGUUGGUGGGGUAACGGCCUACCAAGACGAUGAUCGGUAGCUGGUCUGAGAGGACGAUCAGCCACACGGGAACUGAGAUACGGUCCCG